rnacentral:rRNA from 1 species
UACAGAGGGUGCAAGCGUUGUUCGGAAUUAUUGGGCGUAAAGAGCUCGUAGGCGGCCUGUUGCGUCCGCUGUGAAAACCCGGGGCUUAACCCCGGGCUUGCAGUGGAUACGGGCAGGCUGGAGGCAGGCAGGGGAGAACGGAAUUCCCGGUGUAGCGGUGAAAUGCGCAGAUAUCGGGAGGAACACCGGUGGCGAAGGCGGUUCUCUGGGCCUGUACUGACGCUGAGGAGCGAAAGCGUGGGGAGCGAACAGG